AUAUCUAUAUAUCUAUCUGUAUAUCUAUAUCCACAAACCCUAAUUCAAAAGAAAAAAAACCCUAAAAUAAUAAUAAAUAAUGUCUCACUUUGGAAGAGCAGGUCCUCCAGAUAUCAGAGAUACAUAUUCUCUUCUUGUUCUCAAUAUCACCUUCCGUACAACUGCUGAUGAUUUGUUUCCACUUUUUGAUAAGUAUGGAAAAGUUGUUGAUGUUUUCAUUCCUAGAGAUCGAAGGACUGGGGAUUCAAGGGGAUUUGCAUUUGUGAGAUAUAAGUAUGCAGACGAGGCACAAAAGGCGGUCGAAAAACUUGAUGGGAGAGUUGUUGAUGGGAGAGAGAUAAUGGUACAGUUUGCGAAAUACGGGCCGGAUGCUGAACGAAUUCACAAGGGAAGAAUAUUGGAACCGGUAGAAAAGUUGAAGGGAAGGUCAAGGAGCCGAAGUCCCAGGCCAAGUUCCAGGCAUAGGGAUGAUUAUAAGGACAGGGAUUAUAGGCGGAGGAACCGCAGUAGAAGCAGGGAUCGAUCUGAACAUGAGAGAUCUAGAGGAAGAGAUAGGGAUCGUUACCACAGUAGGAGUCGCACCAGAAGCCCUGAUUAUCGCAGAGAACGCAGGAGAUCCAGAUAUGAUGAUGAUAAGGAUAGGAGCCGGUCUCCUGUCAGGAGCGUUUCUCCUUCUGCACAGCGCAGUGGUAGCCCACGUAAGAGUCUUUCUCCACGCAGAUCACUUUCAAGGAGCAGAAGUCCCGUUGCAUCUGGUGAAAAAGAUCGCUCAGCCACCCCUAAAAGUGUUUCACCUCCUGCCAAAGCUGAUUCUCGAAGCCCAUCACCCCAACGUUCUGAUGCAGAUGAAUGAGAAGCGGACUACACUGUUGGAGAUUGCAUGUAAUGGCAUGACUUGAUAAGCAAUGUGCUGUUUUGUGAUGAGUCAGAUGAAUUUUUGAACUCCUCAUGCAUAUUUUUAAGAGUUUAUGUUGCUGUAUGCUGUUGGUGAUAAAUGCUGUAGCAGCCGUUAUGCUGUUUCGUGUGCUGUCGCCUGUUGGUUGAUGUCUUUUCUUGGUGGUUGAACAGUAUAUCACAGUUAUGAUGAUGAUGAUAUUGUGGGUGAGGUUGUAGUAGCUGGAUGACAUAGAAAGGUGGUUGAAGUUGAUAUUGCCUUAGCUGUAUAUGACACAUCUAUCCUAGGCACUCAGUUUUCUUUAUUUGUAAGCUGCAAUGCUGUGAACGUUGUUAGAGUAAGCUCAGAAGUCAUGACAACAUUGUAGCUGUUCUUAUAUCCAAAAUCGUGACAAGUGGGUAUGACUUGGUAGCUGGUUUUUAACAUCUCUCUGGUUUGAGACCCAGGUGCUAUUAGUUCAUAAAUUAUUGUUGGCUAUUUUUUAGGAUUAUUAGUUAAACUCUAUCAGGUUUCAAACGUAAUUAGCUCAUGCUCUAACCUGAUAAUGAUGGUACAGUACAUGAGAAGUGUCGUUGCUAUAGUGGUCUGGUGAUGCCAUGUAGCCGGUCUCUUGGAAUUUUGGUUGUUGCUGCACUUGUUGCUGAUAGAGCUUAAUGAUUGUACGCAUGUACAGGGUUUUGGUUGGAUGAUCGAUGCUUGGUUUGGUAGCUGUGUUGUUCCAGCUAGAAGCCUUGGUAGAUCUGAUGGAUGUUAUAAUAAAAUCUCACAAAUCGGAGUUGGUUAUUUCCAUUCAAAUUUAUCUUCAUACAGAUUAUUAAAGAUUUUUUUAAAGACUACAAGAUCUAUUUUAUCAUGAAAAUUGCAUUUUAGAAAUCCAAAACUCUAUUAUCAUUUCAGUAGUUUCUAUGAAAAUGAAUUUUUGAGCCUA